rnacentral:lncRNA from 1 species
CUUACCCGGCUCCCUCUAGGCUUUCCCUUAUCUCCCCCGCAACAUUUUUUACUAUCUCUUACUUAGAGUGUCUUUCAGUUCCUCCCUUCCUCCGCAGGCUCUAAGCCAGCUCUGCGAGAGGACAAAUUGGUAAAAGGCAGAGUUGUCUCCCUGGGGAGCCAGUCGCCGGUCCGGGUGAGGAGGGUUAGACUGGGAUAGAAGGGCACCGCCGGCCAGAGAGAGGGUAGGGCAAGGGGUAUUUUUAACUAGGGCCGCAGAUCGAGUUGCAGAGCCGCGGGCCCCACCCUACGUCGCCCUCCGGGAAGGUACUGGGGAUGAUCCGGGCUCGAUGACGCCGCCACCACAGCCCUCGACCCGCCUCCUGAGCCCCCGCGUGCCUCCUGGGGCGCAGCUGUCCUCCAGCCCAGCCGGCGCUCGGCGCGAAGCAGGGUUUACCUCUAGCUGCCCCAACUGCUUGCUGAAGCCGCCCCUGGCUGGAUGAGAACGGACUUCUGCCGGACGCUAGACAAACGCUCACAUUAGGACGUUGUUAUCGGGGCCCAGGAAGGCUGAAAUGCUAGUCCAAGGCUGGGCAGUGGGCAUUUGUCAGAAGCAUCUGAUUAGCAUCUGGAGAAGACAGAAGCCGUCCCAUCAGCUGGGCUGGUUAACAUCAGCAAGUCCAGAGCUCGGUCCACAGGUGAGCCCUGGAUGGAGUCUGCCAGCCAGACAAGAGUUUCACUGAGAAGCCUUGGCUGGCCUGGAACUUACUACAUAGCCCAGGAUGGCUCAAGCUUGCAUCGAUACUCCUACCUCUGCCCACAGAGUGCUGGGAUUACUGGCCUGUGUUGCCAGACCCAGUCUAACAGCACCUAAAGAGUUCUUCGACUUUGAAUCCCUGCCCCAGCACUUAAGUGCAUGGCUGAAAGACCGGCCAACUCCAUACUCAUAAAGGAAACGGAAAUACUUUGCAUACUUAAUAUGAACCACUCUGAUGGCUCAGCAGAUAAAGGUUUAUGCCCCACAAGCCUGAUGAUCCAGGUUCGAAGGUCCCAUACGGUGGGAAGAGAGAACCAACUCUCCAAGUUGAACUCUGACCUCCACCAUCGCACUUUGGCAAGCCCUUGCUCUCUGCUCAAUAAACAGAUGUAAUUU